AGAUUGAACGCUGGCGGCAUGCCUUACACAUGCAAGUCGAACGGUAGAGUAGCAAUACUCGAGAGUGGCGAACGGGUGAGUAAUAUAUCGGAACGUGCCCAGUCGUGGGGGAUAACGUAGAGAAAUUUACGCUAAUACCGCAUACGAUCUAAGGAUGAAAGCGGGGGACUCGCAAGAGCCUCGCGCGAUUGGGAGCGGCUGAUAUCAGAUUAGGUUGUUGGUGAGGUAAAAGCUCACCAAGCCGACGAUCUGUAGCUGGUUGAGAGAACGACCAGCCACACGUGGGACUGAGACCGACGGCCCGAGACUCCGUACGGGAGGCAGCAGUAGGGAAUUUUGGACUAAGUGGGACGGAAA
rnacentral:rRNA from 1 species